rnacentral:misc_RNA from 1 species
GGCUGUCUGCUAUGAUGAGCCUGCCUCCUCUUCAUUACCCUUAAUCUCUCAAUCCCUUGUCAAGCAAACAUCCGUUGCCAUUAUUGACGUAGACGGCAAGUUGAUUGGUGAGAUCUCGCCAUACGUACUGAACUCUUGCAACGAGUCAGUGGCUGCUGCAAUUGCUACUCUCUCUACUGGGGAUUUUAUGGCUUACAUAGACUGU